AGCUUUGCAACUAACUAGCAAAUACAUUCCUCCUUGACCGCAGAAUGGCAGUCAGAUCUCAUCUUGGAUCAAGAAGCUGCUAGUCAAUAUAUUAAAUAUUAUGUUUUUGCAUGAAUUCUUCUAGUUGCUGUUUAAAUAUUUGUACAGACUCUGGUAAAACCAUCUCUUCAGGCAGAAAAUUACACAUCGGUCUUUUCCUUUGCCUUAGACUAAUUAUCCUUUCUUCCAGUUUAAAUGUGUGACCUAGGUCCUAUCUAUAGUCCUAUAUUUGAAUAGAAUAGACAAAAGGGCAGUCAAAAUUAAUUGGGUAAUUGUAGCUGAACAUGUUACAACAAAUGUUGAUACCUGGAGUGUCUCUUGAAAGGUAUACUAUAGGCAUCAAAACAACUUUUAGCUUAAUGUAGUUUGGCUGUAUCAGAUGAUAACUUACUUUAGAAGUUUCUCUUGCUCUGUAAAUUGAACUUCAGGAGGCUCCUAAAGGGUCUAGACAGCUAUUUAAGUUUAAACAUUAGAUGUAUUUUUACAGGAAGUGUCUAAAAAUGAUGUGUAAGUCACUUGCAGGAAGGUGUGACUAGGGCUACAUAAACAAAGUAAAUUAACUUAUAAAUGGCAGAGGAGCAGCAGUAUGACUGCAUGAUCUAUAUACACACACCAAAACAGCUUUAUUAAGCUAAAGUUGUUUUGCUGCCCACAGUGCCCCUAAAGUCUGUUUUAGAGAGAGUUGCAUAAAUGUGUUUUUAAAAAAAAAAAUCAUAUUCACUGUAUAUAUCUAAAACUGUUUAAAAGCAAGAACCCAUUAAUUAUAGUAUGCCAUUUUUGCAUUUGAAUGACAUGUGCAUACUUCUAAUGUUAUAUCAACCUAUUAAAGCUUGCCAAAAUUCAAAGAAAUGGAUUUAAU